ensembl:lncRNA
GAGAACUUCUCGCUGUGGGGGCAGAGCUGCGGGUCGGGACCCGCGCAGCUGCGGUGCUGCAGGUUCGGCACGGCCCGGUUCGGCUCGGCCCGGCUCGGGGACGAAGAGCCUCUAAUUGCUGCCCCGGGCGCACGGCGCUUCUUUAACCCCAUCGAUAAAUCGUGGGCAUCGAUCGUGAGCGCUGCGUUCCUCCGCAGCCCCCUCACACCUCCUACCCCGAGCCGGGCGGGAUGGGGCUGAAUUGGGCUGGGAGGCCUCUCGGAGCAAUCUUUUCCUAAUAAAGAGUGUGAUCGAAGCGCUCCUUCCCCCCCCCCCGCUCCCCGCGAAGGGCCGCGGAAGGGGCCGUAAACGCAGAGCCGCUGCGGAUCGAUGGAGAGAAGCCCGGAUUGAUCGGCCUCUAAAAUUAAAUUUGUUGGGGUCAUGGUUUUAUAUGGUGCUGAUACAACUGUUAAAUGGGGAACAUUCAUUUCCAAUAGGAGGCGUUUAUUAAACUUCCACUGAAUUAGACCGCCGUGAUUUAUGUGGCAAUCUCGGCACAGCCCUCCAGGAGGGAAAGGGAGAGGCAGAGAGGGCCCUUCCGCGGCCGUCUCCGGGCGGUUAUUUAUUUAUCCCCACCCCCACCCCCCCGUGCCACGGCUCCAUAAGUUUUAACCGAAAUGAUCCGCCGGGCUCAGCCGGGAGCGGAACCGCCCGCGGGUCCCGUCGGGGCGCCCCGCACCGCCCCGCACCGCGCAGCCCCGGGGGUGGGGGGGUCGGGGGGGCCCCGCAAACGUCCCCGCUCCCGCGUGCGGCGAUCGUUGAGCGUUAAUUAGAAAUUCAUUACAAUUAAAAGCCGCGCGCACACGCCUUAAUUACAUCUGAUUUUUAAUUCCGAAUCCGUGUUUACACAGUAAGCGAGACGUACCUCCUGAUUAUCCCCAAUACUCUUUAUACUGUACUAAUUAUGUAAAUUAAACCUAAUUAACUGACAAAAACUGCAGUCAAUUCAACUGUUCGAAGAUAGCGGAGGCGGCGAGGAGCGGAGGAGCCGCGGCCGUUCCGCGCUGUCGGGGCGGUGCGGUGCGGUGCGGUGCUGCGGGGCGCGGGAGCGGAGACGGCGGAGGGGGACGCGGUGGAGCCGCGGAUUUGAGCCCCUCGGGGCCCCCCGACGUGCGGCCUCCCCGGUGGGGAUGGGGCGCCGGGCUGCGGCCGGCGGUGGCACAGAGAGGCGGAGCGGCUCCGUGGGUACCGCGCCGUGUUUAACCCCCACCCGUGGGCCCACCCCGCAAACACGAAAAUAAGCGGUGAGAGAUGUGGCAGCGCCGGAGGGUCUCACUCAGUGCCGGCUGGAGGAGGAGCGGGGAUAAAUAAUUAAAAAAAAAAAAAAGAGAGAGAGAGGGAUAAUUACCGGCUCGGGUUGCGGUCAUUGCGGGAAGGCCGAGCCCGCAGCUCCCCGCCUUUGGCUUCUCUCCCCGCCCCGCCACGACGGGGCGUCCCGCACCCGAAUUGCGGGGACCCGCAGCCGCCUUCGGGCUGUGCGGAGCGGCCCCACCGCGGGGACGCAGCGCCGGGAUGGGCUCCGCGGCCGCGUUUCUCUCCGCACCGCGUCCUCUCGGCGGCGGGAUUGAAUAAUCAUAAAUAAUAAACAAUAAUAGAGAGAGAGAAAUAUAUAUCUAUAAAAGCGAUAGCCGCGGGCGGUGCGCGCCGUUAUUAACUUCUGUUUGAUCAGUGUAAUUGCGCCGAUCGCGGCCGGACAUGAUGAUUAAUUACAGUUUAAUUAACGUAGCCGUGACCAACGCACCCAGGGCGGGGAUGCGGAGCCGGGUGGGGGCCCUUCCGCGCCGGCGGGACCGAAGGCCACCGGAGCGGUACCCCCAUUCCUACGGCCUCCGGUCCCGCCGGCGCGGAGGGGACCCCCGGAGCGAACGAAAAACCGCGGCCGUCGCCCCCCCCUCCGCCUCCUCCCGGCGAUUUCGUUACCGCCCCUCUGUCCCCAUCCGCGCAUCCUCACCCCCCGGGCGGAGCUCUCAUCCCGGCUACGGAGGAAGGGGGGAACGGCGGUGAGAAGGAAGGGGAAGAUUCGUUGGGGCCCUAUCGGCGACCCCCCCCGGGGAGGAGGGUUUUCGUUGCAUCCCGCUCCAAACCGCUGUCACCGGAUCAAUGUGCGGCGGCUCCAAGUACGGAUCCGGAUCCUCCCUCGGCGGCGCGGUUGCCCACUCGCUCUUGUUGCAUCGCGCCCGGGCGGACACGGAGGAAGCGGCCGCCCCGCAGCACCGCUGAACGCCCGCACCGCGCCGCCCGUCCCCGCGGGGAGGAGGGGG